rnacentral:rRNA from 1 species
CAGCCGCCGCGGUAAUACGGAGGGGGCUAGCGUUGUUCGGAAUUACUGGGCGUAAAGCGCACGUAGGCGGCUUGGUAAGUUAGAGGUGAAAGCCCAGGGCUCAACCCUGGAAUUGCCUUUAAGACUGCCGAGCUAGUAGGUGAGAGAGGUAAGUGGAAUUCCGAGUGUAGAGGUGAAAUUCGUAGAUAUUCGGAAGAACACCAGUGGCGAAGGCGGCUUACUGGCUCAUUCUAGACGCUGAGGUGCGAAAGCGUGGGGAGCAAACAGGAUUAGAUACCCCCGUAGUCCCUGUCUCUUAUAC